rnacentral:other from 1 species
CGGCUUCUGCGGCGUGCGAGAGGUUUCAAUCCCCGAGACCGUACAUUCUCUCUCGGGAGUUGGCUCUGUCCCGACCGGCUGGUUCCUUGACCGGACGGCGGGGCAUCUGGCGCCCACCUAGCUUGCUAGGGUCCGAGUGGAUGAUAUGCCUCCAUCGGCGCAUGCGGGGCCGC